rnacentral:piRNA from 1 species
UAUUUGAUGUUUAGACCCCUCGGGAAGUUCC